UACGUAGGGUGCGAGCGUUGCCCGGAUUCAUUGGGCGUAAAGCGCGCGCAGGCGGAUGCACGCGUCCCGCGUGAAAUCGCCCGGCUCAACCGGGCGGGGUCGCGGGAUACGGUGCGUCUGGAGCACGGGAGGGGGCAGUGGAAUUCCCGGUGUAGUGGUGGAAUGCGUAGAGAUCGGGAGGAACACCAGUGGCGAAGGCGACUGCCUGGACCGUGGCUGACGCUGAGGCGCGAAAGCGUGGGGAGCAAACGGG
rnacentral:rRNA from 1 species